UGGGCAUAGGAGCAGUACUAUCCCAGGAGGUUCACGGUGAGGAACACCCCGUCAUGUACAUCAGCCGGAAGCUGAACACAAGGGAACAAGUGUAUGCUACUGUGGAGAAAGAAGGCCUAGCAAUAAAAUGGGCGCUUGAGCGCCUCCGGUAUUACCUCUUGGGACGUCACUUCACUCUGAGCCGGAGCCAAGCAUGGGAAUGCAGAUGCCCUGUCCCGUAGAGAUGCCCUGUGGACCAUGGUCACCUCUCCUAGGCCAGAACUGAAGGGGGGGGUGUGUAAGGGACUGAGAGGCAGAGUAGUGGGAGGCACCUACAUUCCCAAUAGGUGGCUCCACCCGCUGCCAAUUAGCAGUAUUGGGACCAGGUGUGGAGACCUCACACCUGGUGCUAAUCACUCCCUCAAGGGAGACAAAGCAGACAGAGUUGCUCAGUUGUGUGUGGCACAUGGAGGGAGCAGGAGGCUCCCAGCGUGAGGAAACAUUUUUGUAAGCUGGUAAGUCGGUUAGCGGCCCGGCUACGUUAGCCUUUGUUUAGUUAAAGGUAUUUUUGAGUUUGUUAGCAAUAAAGCCUCUUUUUGGAUUUGAA